ensembl:lncRNA
AAAACUGAAUUGCCAUGUAUGGGAAUUCAGUUAUAUUCUCAAUCUUCUGUAAAUUUAUAGCUGUGCAAAAAAAAAAAUCUGUUUAAGGAAAAAAUUACUUGACUGAAAGACAACACUCCAGCCACCCCACCCAUCACACCCACCCCUGCUUUCACAGAGUCAACCUGAUGCAGAAAGUCUAGUCAUGAACUGUGCAGUUCUGGGUAGGUGGAACCUUGUAAAUAUGGAUUAUGCAGCAGGUGAUGUUGUGAAGAGAAGUGCAUUUCAGAGCUCCAGCUUCCCCAUUCUGGAUGUGACUCCCCCUUCCCGUUCCCCCAUAAUGGUAGGGCUAAUACUUACAUAGUAUAUUGGGCUUAAGUUUGUAGCCCACGUAUUGCCUUUCUCCUUCACAGCAGCCAACUCUGUGAAAUACUGUAUCUAUGAAGAAAAUGAGACCUAGAGAAGUCAAGGACCUCGCCCAGGAUCCCUUGCCUGUAAGGAUGAAGCCAGGAUUCAAAUUCAGACAGCCCGGGUCCCAGAGCCAGCAUGCUUUUAACCUCAUUCACCUCUCUUCCAGGUAUCAGACCAACAGAAAACCAUGCAAGACCUGAUUGGAUGAUAUAAAAGGAUGUUGCAUAAGAAUCUGAAGUCGUCAUACACUGAAGAAUAACAAAAGGUAAGAUGACAAGGAAAAUGUACCCCUAAUAGCCAAACCUUGCUUAUUGCUUACCUGCUGCUGAGGGGUGACUAUAUAGAGUGUAGUAUAUGUUAAGGAAUAGGCAUGUCAUAUUUUGUUAAAGAUCCAAUUCAAACUUUUUUUUAUAUGAAGAGUUCAUUUGUUCAGUGAGUGGCUUAAUUUGUUUUUAUAUUGUAGUUGAAUAAUAAUUCUAGAAAGAGGUAUUGGCGUGGAUUUGUGUGGGAGCCUGGGCAACCUCUAAAUGAGAAUAAUAAUAACACCUGCCUCAGGGGCAGUAGUGAACAGUGAACUCCUUAUCCCUUAUAAAGGCUCUCAUCACUGAGCUAGGCACAUGCAGAAUAUUCACUAAAGUUUGGCUAUUAGGAUUGUAAUUGGCCAGGUUAUUAUCCGACAUAAAAAUAUGCCCAAAGUUUCCCAUUUAGAAGCAGAGGACAGGUUUCUAAACGCUACAGAGUUUUUCAUACCUUGUAAUUUAAAUUAUUAAAGGUGGAAAUGUUCGAUUUAAAUUUAGAAAUACAUUUAGAAAUACUGUUUCUUGAAUUUAUUUCUUCUUUACAAAGGCAGAGGUAGGAUUUCUGAUCUAAGGAUAGUCACCUCUCAUUUCUUUUUUUUUUUUUAAUUUAACUUUAGGUACAUGCUAUAUCUGGCAUUUCUCCCCAUAUUAUCCCUCCCCACCCUCCCUGCCACCCCUCAUUUCUAGCUUAUCUUGUCAAGUCAGCAUGCGAUACAGCCCUGACCUCCAUCACUGCAAUACAGAUAAGAAUUUUCACUGCAGUGGUCUCCUUUGCGUCUCUCAAUCAAAUCCAAAUAUCUGGCCCAAGCAUAAGCAUGGUUGAGGAACCAGGGGCAAUGUUUCAUCUAUUAAUCAACAUUUCACAGAUGCAUGGAUGACCAAAUCAGUUUAUGGGAACACAACAGCUGAC